rnacentral:rRNA from 1 species
UACGUAGGGUGCAAGCGUUGUCCGGAAUUAUUGGGCGUAAAGAGCUCGUAGGCGGUCUGUCGCGUCGGCUGUGAAAACCCGGGGCUCAACCCCGGGCCUGCAGUCGAUACGGGCAGACUAGAGUGUGGUAGGGGAGACUGGAAUUCCUGGUGUAGCGGUGAAAUGCGCAGAUAUCAGGAGGAACACCGGUGGCGAAGGCGGGUCUCUGGGCCGAUACUGACGCUGAGGAGCGAAAGCGUGGGGAGCAAACAGG